CCAACUAAUAUGGUCUGAAAAAAAAAGAUUAGAUUGGCCCAUUUUUGAUAGAUCCCAUCUCUCAGCCGAACACAUUGCUUUUAACAAUCGUAUUGACUUCUCCACUUCACCUUCAUCGUUCCAAAUCUCUGCAACUUUGCCGUUUCACUGUAAUAAUCACGAUCCACUCUUCUUAUUCAAUACCUCUUUACUUCUUUCUUCAUUAGAGAUGUUAACGUUUCACCUCCUUUGGUUUCUACUCUUAUAUAAACCCCUUCAUCGAAUCUGACGUCCAACCACAUUCUACAACAUCCGAAGAAUGACGUCACGCGAUUCGGUUCAAACCUCUGGAAAGUCUGAGAGAUAUACGAAUCUCAUGACUCAACUGUCCAGCGAGGAGGGAUAUCCAAGGAGGAAGUGAAAACGUAUUUGUGGGGAAAUUUAAGAGAGAAGUAAGUAAUUUCGUGUAAACUUUCUCCUCCUUCUUAUUUGUCUUUCAUAUGAACCUAUUUCUCCGGUUACCUGUUUAUCAAAUGCUUGAGGAUCCUGGACAGACAAGAAGUUACUAUUGCACAGGUUAUCUGCAACAAGUGGAACUGUAUCACCAUUGUUAAUUAAAGGAGUUGAAAUUUUGGGGAUAAAACUCAGUGACUGCUCGAGUGUGAUUCAUUUCACGAUUACAUGCUUUUCAACACAUUCGUUGUGUUUAUUUUUCUCCACCAGUUAGGGGACUGCACGAGUGUGAUUCAUUUGUGUCAGUUUCUGGUGCAUAAACUGUUGAUCCUAUUCCGCUCUCCGGACGCAUUGCAAAUUUAGGGAUGUCCGAGUUGGGAAGCAGCAUGCGUUAGCUUUCAAGGCACAAAAAGAUGUGAAUGUCAUCUCAUGGAACAGGUUCUUUUGCCAAGAAUGGGAUGCUCUGGUAUCACAUUUUGAGAAGCAUAAGCAUCCUACCACGUCGAUUGAGUAAGGCACUCAUGAAUCCUCGACUCUUGCAGCCUCUUCUGGCGAUAACCAGCUCACAUAUGGGAUUUAUCCUUAGAAAAGGAUGAAGAAGAGGAAGCAGAGUUCAAAGCAUAUACACCAAGGAACAACUGAACAAGUUAAAACGCCUCGUGACUUGCCUUCUUAGCUUCUUUUCUUUUACCAGAAAAUCAGCGUCAAGGACUUGAAAGGACUUCACUGGCACAACCAGAUUCCAGGGAUGAUCAUCUCAGCUGCUUCUGAAUUCUGAUAGUUUCAACAGUUUCGAUGCCUUACAACAUGUAGAACACCCUUCCUGAUCUCGGUUCCUAAGAAGAUUGAGUCUCUGAAAAAAUUUCAAGUAUUGUAGUCUCUGAAAAAAUUUCAACAUGUUGAGUUUUGUAUUGUCAUCUCUCUUUUCUACUGAAAUAUAUUUUCAUUGAUAGCAAGUUUAAUGAAUUGUACUCUUUCACAACUUAACGUUUCACAAAUAAGUUUUGAAAAUCAUUCUCA